UCUCCGUUGGUGAACCAGCGGAGGGAUCAUUACCGAGUUUACAACUCCCAAACCCAAUGUGAACCAUACCAAACUGUUGCCUCGGCGGGGUCACGCCCCGGGUGCGUCGCAGCGCCGGAACCAGGCGCCCGCCGGGGGACCCAAACUCUUGUAUUUCUUACUUUGCAUGUCUGAGUGGAAUCAUAAACAAAUGAAUCAAAACUUUCAACAACGGAUCUCUUGGUUCUG
rnacentral:misc_RNA from 1 species